rnacentral:tRNA from 2 species
GGGUGUUUAGCUCAGAGGUAGAGCACUUCCUUCACACGGAAGGGGCCAGUGGUUCGAUCCCACUAACACCCA